UCUCCUGUGAUACGCAGAUGUCACUAUAAUUUCGUAAUAAAUGUUUGUAACGAAACAUAAUAAUGUUAAUGAUCGCGUUCACUUUCUUCCCGACUGAUCUCGCGGUGAUCACGACACGAGAGAAAUGGCACCUCGAUACCACCCGUGGUUUUUAAUUCACCGGAGAAACCCGUUUGUCCCGAGAGCGUGCGUACCGCGAGCGCUGGCCAGCGAGCGCGGGGACCGAUUUACGUGAUCCGAUUCGAUUCGAUCCGCUUUUCGCGUGUACAAUUGCAAUAACAACGUGAAACCCGACAUUACAGGAGAACACGCGCGCAGGGACUCGCGUGUUCGUUCACUGUAUUCGUUGAAUAACUGUUCGACGCGAACAUCGUUAGGUAACAUUUGUACCAGCUGUUUCUCAGUUCUCAAUAUGCUUUCCCGCUUUAACGCGAAAUUUCGAGUUGAAUGUGUAAUUAGGCUUUCCAUGAACGAACGCGCGAAUCUUUGUACACACCAGCGCAUAUUCAUUCGAAAUGGAUACCCGAGGUACCUUAGUUUUACAAGAGUACUCGCCGGAUACCUGGGAAAAUGUAACAAUUACCUGAAACGCUCGAGUACUCGUUGGCUAUUAGAUUAGAGAAAUUCGUCUACAGGUGCGACGCGAGACUUAAGUCUGCGAGGUCGGUCGUUUCUAUAUUGUAUCGAAUGAUUCGAAAAUAGUUAGUCGAAAUUGUAAAUCAAUUGGCCUGUACCUCGGCGCCUGUAGCCUCCGUGCAAUUCGUUCGAUUCGUGUUCGGUAUCCAAAACGCAAUAAGUAGAAGAAGAGUAGAGGUGUUCCUUUGUAUAUUAAUAUUUUAUUUAUGCAUGACGACAGUGAUCAUUGUAAUUCGUAUUUAUCGACGACGGGAACGUUCUCAACGAACCACGUCCGAUAGAAUAUUUUCUGCCUGGGAUAGUAUUCGAGUACUUGUGUAAUUUUAAUUUUCCUCGGGUACUUGAUCAUCUACAUUGAAACAUCAUGCGUUCGCGGAUGCCAGAUCGCUCUCUGGCGCGAUCGUAUUCGAGCAGCAGCCUAAUCGUUCGGGUACUCGAGUACCGAGAGAAAUGCACUCCGUAUAAUCGAAAUGAUCCGAGCAAUUUUUAUAUUGUAUUUCCAUUGUAACAUUGAAACUUUCAUUCGAGAAUUCGCGUCUUGGACCGUCUGUCCGAGUACUCGAGUACCUGCGUAAAUAAUGUCCACUUCGGUACCUCCGGGUGCCAGUAACGCCGAGACACACUGACACGCACACACGAUACGAGAAUAGAAGCAUAAACGACCGUGUGUACGGUAUUGAAACAUUCAAACGCGACGCGGCUUGCGGCCGCGCGUGUAUAUAUAUAUAUCGGUAUGUAUGUAUACAUGUACAUAUACAUACACACGCGCAUAUAUACAUAUAUACAUAUAUAUUAUAUAUGUAUAUACGACUCUUAUACAUAGUAUAAAUACGCCGAGGAGAAUAAAUUAAUUACAGUAUACAUGUUACACGAUACAUAGGAUGGUUAUGUAAACCUGUUGACAUGUAAUGUCUAUGUUCUAAUAAAGAUUAGGAUAUUUUAUAUAAAUAAGAGUUGUUCGAAGCUCUAUCAGAUCUCCAUGGAGGACAGUUCGACCGGGAAUGCUCGCUGGGGAGCUUCCGUCGAGUUAAAUGCAAUGGGAAUUGUACAUACGUGGAAAAACAAGUGAAAAUUGUACUGCGCGAAGGAAACGAUAUGGUUUCUCAUGUUUGUGAAUUGUCUUCUCAGGUACCUAGUUUGCAGUGAGCCCGGUCAGCGACCGGGGAGAAUGUAGUGUUACAGUUUUAUCAGAUCGUUCCCGUCGAGGAAUGGCAUCGCUUAUGGAACGACCUGAUAGCAAGUCCUCUGGGACUGUCAACGGAAUACUGAAGAUGUUCUGCAACGAUUCCUCUUCAAGAAUCCUGUAGGAAGCGUCUCAGGAAGUCGUCGCUGCUCGCGUACUGCAGAAGAAGCUCCUCGUACCUAGCCGUUGUCCGAUCGAACGAAUUCGUUCCAGGAUCGCCUCGGCCAAGGUCCUCUCGUACUCCGUGUACAUCUGGUCCUGCGUGAACCACAGAGCCAGCGCGCAACGCCUGCCUCGGAGGACACCCCGUACACCAUGGAGGUUCUCUCCUCCCGCGGAGAACGCUACCAUGCGUCCGCAACGAGGGGAAACCAGGCUGUCGGUGUCGCGGAUGGCGCGUUCCUUCGCGAAGAAGAACUCGCCGCCCUGGAAGUCCUCGUUCAGGUCGAAGAAGAAGAAAGACGAAGACACGAGAAGGCGGUGUUAACGUUCAGCCGCUCCACGAAUAAUGCGAAUUUCGUUAGACACACCUUAACACUAGAAUCACCCAUUCUUUGCUUCUUUUGCGAUUACUGAAGAGGUACGAAUAUUUCUUUAAGAAAUCACUAAAGAAGCUGAUUAAGUAACGCCUAAGUUGAAAUCUGAACCAAUUCAAGUCUUAAUGAAUCCACGUUUGUAGUUUUUGUAAUGAAAUCGUCGAAAGUCUACCAGUUCUAGUGUUAAUCAAGUAAUCCACUAGUUUCACGCUGUCGAAGAUCAUUUUCUUAUUCCCAUUUAAUCUCUAAGAUACCGUGAUCUCUGUAUACGUAAUUGUGUGUCAGACAGCGGAUUACUUGUCAGCAGAUCUAACGUUAAUUGCCCCAUUAGAAUUCACAUUAUUAAUGGCGCGGCUCGCAAGAGUAUUCGACUGGUCACCGAUUGUUACCCACGUGCCAUACCAAGUGAGUCGGUGCGACGCGGUUUCAGCUGCGAAAGGGACCAGAAGCACGCUGAUGCAUCAGGUGAAAAUUACCGGGUAGAGCCGUGCGGCAGACCAGGUGGGUGUAGGUGAUAUAGAGCGGUCGAUCUAGCCCGAAAUACCUUUCCACGUGGCCGCGGGCGUCCUCUGUUUUCGCGAGGAGCUGCCGCAAUCGCUCCGCCUCCACUCGACCGAAGUACACCAUCUACGGUCAUCGUUAUCGUCAUCGAUUUUUCCAGAAUCGCAUAAACGAUACAUGUGUACUGAACUUUAGAAAAUAUGCGAUACGAAUGAAAGAAAAGAAAGGAUGCUAGAAUGUAAACGUCUCACCAAGGCGACUCUACCGACGGUGAUUCCCUCGAACUUCUCGUGCCUCGAAUGUGGGCUCUUGUACUCGUUGUAGCCAUCGCCUUCCACCGCGGUCAUCUACAUUUAAGAGAACAUCCUUACAACUGCAGUCCAACGUAAACGAACAACUGGGCUACAACAACGUACCGUCGCCAGUCGCAUGAGAGAUUCACACUCCGUCGAAUUGAGGAACCCGUCAGCAACGUAGCGAUUCUUUCCGCCAAGUUCUUUCUGUUCCGCGAUCAGAUAGACAUCGUCCCUGACCCUUUGCCGUUUCCUAUCGCUCGCUUCAGGUCUCUCGUCUCUAAUCGCGGAACGAUUGUUGAACAACUGCGUGUUGGAGAGAGACGAAUAUCCGGGCGGUGGAUGCGGGGCUUCGACUUCCUUUAUACUCUAGGCAGACGUCACGCCUGAAUUACCGAGCCGGAAGUGCAGCGAUGCUUUCUCGGUUGCAUUUAAUAGGCGUUCCGUUUAGAAACCGAGCAGCGUGACGUUUAGAAGCAUAGAAGCGUUCCAAUGGAAAGACAGAAUAGAAUAAUGGGAUAGCGGUCGUGUUUGAGUAUUUUAUUCGUAUGGCACAAAAGAUACAGAGAGCAUGGGAAAUGAGAUUCUCCUGGAACACGAGCGUCGUGAAUCCGCGCGUACAGUAACGAGUCGAAAUAAAAUAGUAGACGUCAGUCCAUGGAAUGCUUAGAGUCCUAUUUACGUUACGAUCAUUUUACCUUUUCCGAUUCUUUCUCUUUGCUAUCGUCGCUCGGCUUCUCUUGAGACUUGUUCCAAUUCGCUAGCUUCCUGUCUAUUAUUGAGAACUCGUGGGAUAUGUAACGCAGCAGGCCCAGCUCGUAUUCUUGUCUCUUAACAUACCUUAGGACCUCCUGAAGAGAGUACAUUUCAGAUAAUUAAAUAAGUGAGAUUCCCAUUUGGUAAUUAUUAACCUGACACGUCCUACUCAACGCAGAGGCAAAAGAAAUCACUGUAUAAUAUUAACACGUCGAAUUCCCCAAGAUUUCACAUAGCAAAAUGCACAAAAUGAAAAUGUAACAUCAAAGUUAGAUAGCAUUAUUUGUAAUAUAAAAAUAUUUGCAAAUAAUGAUCGUUCAAUUGACUGAAUUAUAAUAAUUCCCCCACGGCAUUCAACGUGUCAAUAAAAUCCAGAAUACAGGAAACCAAUGAAAUCACUGAAGCGGACGCCAUUUAGGUUCUAGGUCCUGACAAUGUCUGCAAAGGCAUCACCUCUCUAGGUACGAAGUAGCUUUCUUCUACCAUCGGUUGGCUGCUGUAGUACUUCUUGUUCUGCAGCAUGGUCCCGUCGACAGGAUCGAACACCAAGUAGCUCGCCACUGCGGCGCAGGCUGCCUUCAAGUUCCCCACUGCGCGGAAAAACGGUCCUAUUUGCCCCGAGACUAACCGGCUGAACAAGAUUAGAUCAGCGGAGAUGACAUUCAACGGACAGCUGGGAAACGAGCACGGGGUCUGGGACAAUUUCACGGGUAACGAGGCUGCCUGGCUAAUCAGACCGACCACCAGUUGGCCAAGAUUAAUCCAAUUAAACUUCCUUCGAGGCAUGAGUAACAGCUUCCUGAGGAGCUCCGAACGAUUGUCGCCGCAACGAUUCGCUCGCUGCUGGGAAUGCGCGCGGCAGCGCGCG